AUGGUUCGGAUCAGCAAAAUAAAUGUCUGCUUUGAGGCCACAUCUGUCUAUGGACUUACCGUCUGUACUUAUAAAGAUGCCUUCUUUGCCGAGUUGAUUAGCCAUAAACCGCUGCCUGGGGUGGCUUGGUUGGCCUCCGGAGACUUCAACCAGAUCUAUCGGGCUAGGGACAAGAACAAAAGAAACAUCAACCGGAGCAGAAUUAACUGGUUCCGUGCUGCUUUGCAGUCCUGUGAACUCAAAGAGAUUCAUCUUCAAAAUAGACGUUUCGCCUGGAGUAAUGAGAGGGUGAACCCGACUCUAUGCAAGCUAGACUCCUUUUGUAAUGUUGAAUGGGAUACAACAUCCGAUACACAUGUUCUACAUGCCUUGUCGUCAUCCCUCUCUGACCACUGCCGUCUCUUGCUCGCCGAUGACAAGGGGCCUAGGGGGCCGCGGUCUUUCAAGUUUGAGAACUUCUGA
rnacentral:rRNA from 1 species